CCCUUAGAGUUUGAUCCUGGCUCAGAACGAACGCUGGCGGCAGGCUUCAUACAUGCAAGUCGAACGGGCGUAGCAAUACGUCAGUGGCGAACGGGUGAGUAACACGUGGAUAAUCUGCCCCUUGGCGGGGGAUAACGGCUGGAAACGGCCGUUAAUACCGCAUGUGGUUAUUGAGGCUUUGGUCUUGAUAAAGAAAGGCGCUGCAAGGCGUCACCAAGGGAUGAGUCCGCGCCCCAUUAGCUAGUUGGUGAGAUAAUAGCUCACCAAGGCUCCGAUGGGUAGCCGAGCUGAGAGGUUGAUCGGCCACACUGGGACUGAGACACGGCCCAGACACCUACGGGUGGCAGCAGUAGGGAAUCUUGGACAAUGGGCGCAAGCCUGAUCCAGCCAUGCCGCGUGAGUGAAGAAGGCCCUCGGGUCGUAAAGCUCUUUUCUGAGGGAAGAAAUACCUGAUGAGGAAAUGCUUCGGGUUUGACGGUACCUCAGGAAUAAGGAACGGCUAACUCCGUGCCAGCAGCCGCGGUAAUACGGAGGUUCCAAGCGUUGUUCGGAAUUACUGGGCGUAAAGGGGGCGCAGGCGGAUUGGUCAGUGGAAAGUGGAAGCCCGGGGCUCAACCUCGGAUGUGCUUUCCAUACUGCCAAUCUUGAGUUCGUGAGAGGAGAGCGGAAUUCAGGGUGUAGCGGUGAAAUGCUUAGAUAUCCUGAGGAACACCGGUGGCGAAAGCGGCUCUCUGGCACGAAACUGACGC
rnacentral:rRNA from 1 species